rnacentral:rRNA from 1 species
AGCAGCCGCGGUAAUUCCAGCUCCAAUAGCGUAUAUUAAAGUUGUUGCAGUUAAAAAGCUCGUAGUUGAAUUUCGAGAUCGGUUUAUUGGUCGUGCUAUUGUACGUACUGGUAUUACCGGUUUCUCCUUUCUGACGAACCAUAAUGCCAUUAAUUUGGUGUUUUGGGAAAUCAGGACUGUUACUUUGAAAAAAUUAGAGUGUUUAAAGCAGGCUCACGCUUGAAUACAUUAGCAUGGAAUAACGGAAUAGGACGUUUGAUUCUAUUUUGUUGGUUUCUAGGAUCGACGUAAUGAUUAAUAGGGAUAGUUGGGGGCAUUAGUAUUCAAUUGUCAGAGGUGAAAUUCUUGGAUUUAUUGAAGACUAACUACUGCGAAAGCAUUUGCCAAGGAUGUUUUCAUUAAUCAAGAACGAAAGUUAGGGGAUCGAAGACGAUCAGAUACCGUCGUAGUCUUAACCAUAAACUAUGCCGACUAGGGAUCGGAUGAUGUUAUUUUUAAUGACUCAUUCGGCGCCUUACG